rnacentral:rRNA from 1 species
GUGCCAGCAGCUGCGGUAAUACGUAUGUCCCAAGCGUUAUCCGGAUUUAUUGGGCGUAAAGCGAGCGCAGGCGGUUAUUUAAGUCUGAUGUGAAAGCCUACGGCUCAACCGUAGAAUUGCAUCGGAAACUGGAUAACUUGAGUGCAGUAGAGGAGAGUGGAACUCCAUGUGUAGCGGUGAAAUGCGUAGAUAUAUGGAAGAACACCAGAGGCGAAGGCGGCUCUCUGGACUGUAACUGACGCUGAGGCUCGAAAGUGUGGGUAGCAAACAGGAUUAGAUACCCUGGUAGUCCACACCGUAAACGAUGAAUGCUAGUUGUUAGAGGGUUUCCGCCCUUUAGUGACGCGGCUAACGCAUUAAGCAUUCCGCUGGGGAGUACGACCGCAAGGUUAGAAACUCAAAGGAAUU